GGCAGGCCUAACACAUGCAAGUCGAGCGCAGUCCUUCGGGACCGAGCGGCGGACGGGUUAGUAACGCGUGGGAACAUACCCUUUUCUACGGAAUAGCCUCGGGAAACUGAGAGUAAUACCGUAUAAGCCCUUCGGGGGAAAGAUUUAUCGGGAAAGGAUUGGCCCGCGUUAGAUUAGAUAGUUGGUGGGGUAAUGGCCUACCAAGUCUACGAUCUAUAGCUGGUUUUAGAGGAUGAUCAGCAACACUGGGACUGAGACACGGCCCAGACUCCUACGGGAGGCAGCAGUGGGGAAUCUUAGACAAUGGGCGCAAGCCUGAUCUAGCCAUGCCGCGUGUGUGAUGAAGGUCUUAGGAUCGUAAAGCACUUUCGCCAGGGAUGAUAAUGACAGUACCUGGUAAAGAAACCCCGGCUAACUCCGUGCCAGCAGCCGCGGUAAUACGGAGGGGGUUAGCGUUGUUCGGAAUUACUGGGCGUAAAGCGUACGUAGGCGGAUCAGAAAGUAGGGGGUGAAAUCCCAGGGCUCAACCCUGGAACUGCCUCCUAAACUCCUGGUCUUGAGUUCGAGAGAGGUGAGUGGAAUUCCAAGUGUAGAGGUGAAAUUCGUAGAUAUUUGGAGGAACACCAGUGGCGAAGGCGGCUCACUGGCUCGAUACUGACGCUGAGGUACGAAAGUGUGGGGAGCAAACAGGAUUAGAUACCCUGGUAGUCCACACCGUAAACGAUGAAUGCCAGUCGUCGGGCAGUAUACUGUUCGGUGACACACCUAACGGAUUAAGCAUCCGC
rnacentral:rRNA from 1 species